AGGGUUUGAUCCUGGCUCAGGACGAACGCUGGCGGCGUGCCUAACACAUGCAAGUCGAGGGCGAACGCCUCCUUCGGGAGGCUAGUAGACCGGCGGACGGGUGCGUAACACGUGAGCAACCUGCCUGGUAGAGGGGGAUAACCCGGGGAAACCCGGGCUAAUACCGCAUAACAUGGCCAAUCCGAGUGGGUAGGCCAUCAAAGAGGGCGUCCUUCGCGGAGCUCUCGCUUCCAGAUGGGCUCGCGGCCUAUCAGCUUGUUGGUGAGGUAACGGCUCACCAAGGCGAUGACGGGUAGCUGGUCUAAGCGGAUGAUCAGCCACACGGGGACUGAGACACGGCCCCGACUCCUACGGGAGGCAGCAGUGGGGAAUUUUGGACAAUGGGCGGAAGCCUGAUCCAGCGACGCCGCGUGCGGGAGGAAGCCCUUCGGGGGUGUAAACCGUUGUCAGAAGGGAAGAACAGGUUCGGGUUAAUACCCCGGAUCACUGACGGUACCUUCAGAGGAAGCGCCGGCUAACUCCGUGCCAGCAGCCGCGGUAAUACGGAGGGGCGCAAGCGUUGUCCGGAAUUACUGGGGCGUAAAGGGGGCGCAGGCAGCUUGGUAAGUCCUGUGUGAAAGCCCGCGGCUCAACCGCGGAAAGCCAUAGGGAUACUGCCGAGCUAGAGAUGGGUAAGAGGCGAAGUGGAAUUCCCGGUGUAGCGGUGGAAUGCGUAGAUAUCGGGAAGAACACCAGUGGCGAAGG
rnacentral:rRNA from 1 species